rnacentral:rRNA from 1 species
CAAGAGGCAAACCGGGGGAACUGAAACAUCUAAGUACCCCGAGGAAGAGAAAUCAACCGAGAUUCCGAAAGUAGCGGCGAGCGAAAUUGGAUUAGCCCUUAAGCUUUUAAUGAUGCAGGUGAAGAGUCUGGAAAGUCUCGCAAUAAAGGGUGAUAGCCCCGUAACCGACACAUCAUCAUCAGUGAAAACGAGUAGGGCGGGACACGUGAUAUCCUGUCUGAAUAUGGGGGGACCAUCCUCCAAGGCUAAAUACUACUGACUGACCGAUAGUGAACCAGUACCGUGAGGGAAAGGCGAAA